AGUUUCUGGGGGAUGACUGGCCUUGAUCCUCAGUGGGACCUGUGGAGAAGGAUUGAGAUAGUCCUUGCUUCUUUCUUCCCACUCAGAAGGCCCCUUGUCUCUGCCAGUUAGAAAGACCUAUUUACACAUGCUUCCAAGGUGCUAUCGUCAUAGCUCUGCUAGUCAGAAAAGCCUCCAAGUUAACCCUAGAAAAUAAUUCAACUCUUUACAGCCCACAUAGUGUGGCAGGAUCACUUUCCUCUAAAGGGAACUCUUAGCUAGAAAACAGCUGGUAAAGAAGGUACAUAAGGCAGGAUCAGCAGUAGUCACUCUCCCCAAACACAAGCACUCAAUUGGCUGAGCUGAUAGCUCUUACAACAGCACAUAAAUUAAGCAAAAGCAAGGUAGUUAAGUAACCUCAUUCCUGUCUAAGCUGUGACAAAAACACUGGAAACAGAACUGCCCAGAGGCAGAGAUCACUGUGUUCAAAACAUUUAUGCUAACUCCAAGUAUGCUUUUCUAAUUUUCCAUGCUUAUACUGCCAUUUUAAAAAGGCAUUUUUUUUUUAACCACUGAUGAAUCUCCCAUAAAGUAUCACCAGGAAAUUAACAGGCUAUUAUCCUCAGAUUUUCUUACACAAGAAAUAGCAGGGAUGCAUUGUAGGGAACAUCAAAAGAAAAUAAAUAAGGUAGCCAAAGAAAAUAAAUUAGCUCAUCAGGAAGCUAAGUCAGAGGCAAGGAAGUCUCAAGGCAUUAACAUAACUAGCAAAGUCCAAGGAAAUAAACGAUCUCUGUUUAACCCAGGAAAUUUAGUAUUAGUGAAAACUCUCCUCUCUAUCCUUCCUUAAGCCAAGCUGGGAAGGGACCCUACACUGUUCUUUCAAUGCUCUUGGCAGCAGAAGUUACACAAGUCAACUCGUAAAUACGUCACACUGAAGUCAAAACCUAAAAGCUGAAGGAGCAACCCUUAGCAGCCCAGAGAUAUGACCAGAAUAUCAAUGUGGAAAAAUAGAAAAUCUUAAGCUAAAAAUCAUAAACAUUAAGUAACUAACGGUUACUCAUAUGACUCAGUCCCACCUUUACCUAAACAGAUACUUUUUGUCAUUUCUGCCCUUACCUCUCAAAGUUUGCUACCAAAUAUUAAAACUUCUUUUUAUUGCAUAUUUGCAGGAAAUUUUUAAUUAUACAUGAUAUUGCACUUGUAACUCUGUAAAUCCCAAAAAGGGAAAUGUUUAACCUUGGGCAAGUAAAGUUUUAAACAAUUUUUUUUUUAACUACACCACCCUUGUGGCAAUUGUUAUAGUCAUGCUACCAUUUGCAAUAAAACCAAACAUUGUGGCACUCACAAUGUGGGAUUCUGGUUGUAAAAUUUUAAUUUGUGCUCCUAUGAGAAUCUGAUACUGGGGCUGAUUGGACAGGAGGCCACUCAGGCAGUAAUGCUUACGUGAUACCUCCUGCCGUGUGUCUCCAUUCCUAACAGGCCACGGAUUGUUGCUGGUCUGUAGAUUGGAGAUUGGGGACCUCUGCUCUAGGAUAUAUCACUUUCAGGGCUCCAUCUAAAAGCCUAACUCUCCCUCCCACUUGGCAGACACCAACCUACAAUUUUUGUAUCUUCAGAUCCACAAGAUUGUUAGAAGUUCUACUUUGCCACCACCUAUGACUCAACAUCUAAUUUACAGUACUAUUUAAAUUUCCCCAAUUGUCCAAAAGAAUGUCCUUUGUAGCUGUUUUUAAAUCCAUCCAAUCAGGUUUCAUGCACUUUGUUUCUAUGCUUCUUUAGUCUCUUUUAAUCUAGAACAUUCUCCCUGACUUGUUAUGACAUUUUUUGACGUUUUUUGAAUUUGUCAUGCAUGAAGCUCCAAAAAUGAAAAUUCCUAGCUUGGUGUGUACUAGGAAUUGAAAGGAAGUCAGUAUAUCAAGUUUUUCUUGCACCACAUGAUAUCCUCUCAGCCCCCACCUGUUCAUCCAGCCAUUACUGAGGUGACCAGGUCCAGACAGUUUCUCACUAGCUUCAUGCAGGUACACACAGUGCCUUUCCUUCGUAUCUAUCUUUCCAGUACCUUUCUCUUUCUGGCACUGGGCUUCUUUGAGAUGGUACAAUAAGACUCCUGCAGAAAUCUUCUCAGCACCCAUACAUCUGGAAACCAAAAUUGGGAAGACUUCAUACCAAUAGGAUAACUUUUUAACAGCUGGGGAUGGCGGCAGGUGGAUAAAUGCUUCAUUUCAUCUUCUGGGCAGAGAGUACUAAAAAACAUUUCAUAUUUGGGGGGGAAAUGGUGGAAACAAGCUUUUUUGCCAGAGAAAGUCAUAGAAGUUGGACCCUCAUAAUUGGAGCCUAAAUCUCUUAUUGGGCAGAUCACAGUAAAGAGCCAUUGCUGGAGAACACUGACAUUGAUCCCCAGGAGAAUCUGGGCAGAGAAGUAGAGAAAGUUCCUGCAUGAACCUGCUCCACACUAGGCCGCUUGGCUCUGCCAGGUAAUAAUAAAUGGCCAACACUGUUACAGCUUUGCCCAUCCACUCCCACCAUGUUCUGUGAAGAUGGUUCAAGUGUAAAGAGAUGUCUCUCUGAUCUCAAUGUCUGUCUGCAAUUGAGGGAGAUGACCGUACUCCUCAUUGUUGAGAAAUUCCUCUGUAGGAUCCCCAGAGCCUCCUAACAGCAUGAUCUCUCCUCACCCUUUUCCCUACACUUGGUCAUUUAAAAAAUCACCAACUUCCCAGGAUUUGGCUCUUUCCUUAAGAGGGAAAGAGGAAGUGGUCAUCCCCAUGAAGGCCCAAGGAACUUGAUGGGAGGCGUCCAGAAAUCAAGGAGAAUAAACCUUCUUGGGACUCCAGGAGUGGGUUAUAAGGUCCCUGGAAUGUUUGAGAAGACAUUAGGUACAACGUCCUUCUAUAGCAUAUUGUUGACGUCAGAGACUCUGAGACAAAAUCCUUACCCAAUCUCAGAUGACUCACUGCACUGAAAUCUUAGAUAGCUGUUUACAGCCACACAGGUAUACCUCGUGGCUUUGGGGAGAAAUUUUGUAACUUGAGGACAAUCUGGUGGAAUUUCCUUAUUCUUUCCAUUGUUCUCAGGAUAUUUAUUGUAUGUAAUGAUGCCUGGCUCUGUACAGGCUGCCAUGCAGGAACUUUGGAAAAAGACACACUUCCCACAUGAAAAUUUCAAUUAAAGCAAUAGUUAGAGAAUCACAGGAGUCCAAAGAUUUCUCUUAAGAACCCCAGUAGUUGAUGUUUAAAAAUAAUUGUGAGGUUUAUCCGAUGUAUAUGGAAGAAUCCUGGGAUUUUUCUUUGGAAAAAAAUGGUCAUGGUUUUACAUCAGAAAAUAUGAAGUUUAUUGUUGGGAUGGACACAGUUCAUACACAUGGACACAGUGAGCCGACCCUGCUUUGCUGCAGUUUCACUAGGCAUUGCAGCCCAGCAAACCUCCCAACACAUGUUGGCUUAGAGCAAUCAUUUAUUCUGAUCUUUCUCAGUUAGCUGGACUCGUGUGUGAGUGGUAGAUCAGGUGGUGAGAGCCAUGUUUUCUGAAGGUCUUUUAGGCUGGAUCCCAAAGGAUGCUUCACUCAUGUCUGACUCAACACAAGGACUGGGUGAACACCUGGAGGCUGGCAGGUUACCUCCUUCGCUACCUCACCUCCCCAUUCAUGCCUUGAAUUCCCUCAAAUCAUGAGUCUCAUGGUUGGUUCUUGGACUUAAUGAAUGAAUUGAUAAGCAAGACAUGCACGCAGUGAAAGAAACCAUGCUAGCUCUUUGUAUAUGAAUAAAAAUUAAAACAAACCAAUACAAACAAGAACAACCAAAAAGUGAGCAGCCAUCACUGGUGUAUAUCAUUGCUUAAACCAACAAGACCCGUAUUUUCAUCUUCUCUGAAAAUGUUUCUCCGCAACAGUUGGCUCCACCUUCUACUGUCAGCUGCUUGGAGCUCCCACAAAGAUGGCACAAUGACAGCCCUUUUCCCUCUAUGAGGACUGUUGUCAUCUGGUUCAUAGCACAAAUAGAGAGCCAUUUAGUUGAAGAUAAACAACAUAUUACCUAAAAGCCAAACAAUGCAGAUUUAAGAGGGUCUCAUCAAAUAGUAGCCUUUAUCUACAGGGCCCAUCUCAGGUGUCAUUUUGAUCACUCAUCCUCUCUUCCCAUGUUCACUGUCACAGCAUACCCCAGCCUUACUCGUGGGUAUGCCUCUCUCCUUGCCCUCCUUUAAUCUAACAUCAGAUACUUUGAGGUGUCAAUGCACAGUAAAUGACACCUUCAUGCCUCUCUUUCUUGUUGCUUUCCUUUAUGAACUGAAAUUCCCUCCUCCCUCACUGGAAAGUCUCAGGUUCUUGUUAGGUACACUUUCCUCCUUACAUCAUCCCUCUCACAGUUUUGGCCACUUCUCUAUUUUGAUGAUGGAUUAUAGGCCCCAUCAUCAGCAUGGAAAUAAUUUCUUGGGGGAAUUAGGCACUUCUUGCUCUAAAUGAAUAAGACUGAUCUGAGACUCUGAGUGGAUAAAGACUAUCUUGGAACCCAUGACUUUCGGAGCAGAACUUGAGUUUGAUUUCAUAUCUACAUGUCCCUAGAUGACGCCCAUUGUAUCUGAAUAACCUACAGGGUCCUACAUGCUGUGCCUGCUAGACAAACACACAGUAACUGCAUUUUCUUUAUUGAUAUUCACCAGCUCAGUUCAGUUCACAUAGGGCACUGGUUGCAUUCAUCUUUAUACCAGCUACUACCCUAUGCUCAUCGUGGCCAGGGGUGAUGUCUCAGAUAAAAAGAGAAUAUGACAUAGAGUCCAGGAGCCAAUGUUCAACAAAUGAUUUCUGAUUUGCCCCGGGGACCUACUCAACAUCUUUUUCAUGCUCCUCAACCCAAAUUUACGGUCUUCUCCCAGCAAAUACAGCAUUGCUCAAAACACAGUAGUUUAUUUCUGAAUUCUAAAGCCUUGCCUCCUGAAAGGUCUUUAGGGCUUUUCAGUUUUUGUUGAAAACCCCCAAAGAAUAAAUCUGUUUUAUAAUG